rnacentral:rRNA from 1 species
CGAACGGAAAGGCCCUUCGGGGUGCUCGAGUGGCGAACGGGUGAGUAACACGUGGGUGAUCUGCCCUGCACUUUGGGAUAAGCCUGGGAAACUGGGUCUAAUACCGAAUAGGACUCCGGACUGCAUGGUCUGGGGUGGAAAGCUUUUGCGGUGUGGGAUGGGCCCGCGGCCUAUCAGCUUGUUGGUGGGGUGAUGGCCUACCAAGGCGACGACGGGUAGCCGGCCUGAGAGGGUGACCGGCCACACUGGGACUGAGAUACGGCCCAGACUCCUACGGGAGGCAGCAGUGGGGAAUAUUGCACAAUGGGCGCAAGCCUGAUGCAGCGACGCCGCGUGAGGGAUGACGGCCUUCGGGUUGUAAACCUCUUUCAGCACAGACGAAGCGCAAGUGACGGUAUGUGCAGAAGAAGGACCGGCCAACUACGUGCCAGCAGCCGCGGUAAUACGUAGGGUCCGAGCGUUGUCCGGAAUUACUGGGCGUAAAGAGCUCGUAGGUGGUUUGUCGCGUUGUUCGUGAAAACUCACAGCUUAACUGUGGGCGUGCGGGCGAUACGGGCAGACUGGAGUACUGCAGGGGAGACUGGAAUUCCUGGUGUAGCGGUGGAAUGCGCAGAUAUCAGGAGGAACACCGGUGGCGAAGGCGGGUCUCUGGGCAGUAACUGACGCUGAGGAGCGAAAGCGUGGGGAGCGAACAGGAUUAGAUACCCUGGUAGUCCACGCCGUAAACGGUGGGUACUAGGUGUGGGUUUCCUUCCU